UCCGGGAUUGUGUAAUGGUAGCACAACGGGUUUUGGAUCCGUUUGUCUAGGUUCGAAUCCUAGUCCCGGAG
rnacentral:tRNA from 1 species